AAGUCGUAACAAGGUUUUCGUAGGUGAACCUGCGGAAGGAUCAUUAGUGAAAUAUACAAUUGAGAAAGUUGCCGACUUUGCAAAAAGGAAGCCUUUCUUUCAAUACAAUAUCCACUUUUCACACACACUUGUGCACUUGUUCAUUCAUACCUUAGCCUCUCUCUUCAAAACCCUUUUCAAGAAGGGGGCUGGACCGGCUAUCGUACUGAAACACUUGUGAUAAAACUGUUAAAAGUCCAAGUUGAUUAAACAUUUGAUAAUACGAAAGUAAAACUUUCAGCAAUGGAUCUCUUGGCUCUC
rnacentral:misc_RNA from 1 species